rnacentral:rRNA from 1 species
UACAGAGGGGGCAAGCGUUGUUCGGAAUUACUGGGCGUAAAGGCUCGUAGGCGGCCAACUAAGUCGGAUGUGAAAUCCCCAGGCUCAACUUGGGAACUGCAUCCGAUACUGGAUGGCUUGAAUCCGGGAGAGGGAUGCAGAAUUCCAGGUGUAGCGGUGAAAUGCGUAGAUAUCUGGAGGAAUACCGGUGGCGAAGGCGGCAUCCUGGACCGGCAUUGACGCUGAUGAGCGAAAGCUAGGGGAGCAAACGGG